rnacentral:rRNA from 1 species
GUGAGGAAUAUUGCGCAAUGGAGGCAACUCUGACGCAGCCAUGCCGCGUGUAGGAAGAAGGCGCUACGCGUUGUAAACUGCUUUUAACCGGGAAGAAACCCCAGGACGUGUCCUGGGUUGACGGUACCGGAGGAAUAAGCACCGGCUAACUUCGUGCCAGCAGCCGCGGUAAUACGAAGGGUGCAAGCGUUAUCCGGAUUCAUUGGGUUUAAAGGGUGCGUAGGCGGAGCGUUAAGUCAGUGGUGAAAUCCUGCAGCUUAACUGUAGACUUGCCAUUGAUACUGGCGCUCUUGAGUGCGCUUGAAGUGGGCGGAAUGUGCCGUGUAGCGGUGAAAUGCUUAGAUAUGGCACAGAACACCAAUUGCGAAGGCAGCUCACUAAGGCGAUACUGACGCUGAGGCACGAAAGCGUGGGGAUCGAACAGGAUUAGAUACCCGGGUAGUCC